GCGCCGUUGGUGUAGUGGUAGCACACAACCUAAUUUUUCGGUGUCUGGUGAGGAUUUAGGUUGAGCCCUGGGUUCGACUCCCAGACAGCGCG